AUACGGAGGAUCCGAGCGUUAUCCGGAUUUAUUGGGUUUAAAGGGUGCGCAGGCGGGAGAUUAAGUCGGCGGUGAAAUUUUGCAGCUCAACUGUAAAAGUGCCUUCGAUACUGGUUUCCUUGAGUGUGGAUGAAGUAGGCGGAAUUUGUGGUGUAGCGGUGAAAUGCUUAGAUAUCACGAGGAACUCCGAUUGCGCAGGCAGCUUACUAAACCACUACUGACGCUCAGGCACGAAGGCGUGGGGAUCAAACAGGAUUAGAUACCCUGGUAGUCCACGCAGUAAACGA
rnacentral:rRNA from 1 species